rnacentral:rRNA from 1 species
GACGAACGCUGGCGGCGUGCUUAACACAUGCAAGUCGAACGGAAAGGCCCUGCUUUUGUGGGUUGCUCGAGUGGCGAACGGGUGAGUAACACGUGAGUAACCUGCCCUUGACUUUGGGAUAACUUCAGGAAACUGGGGCUAAUACCGGAUAGGAUCUCCUGCUGCAUGGUGGGGUUUGGAAAGUUUCGGCGGUUGGGGAUGGACUCGCGGCUUAUCAGCUUGUUGGUGGGGUAGUGGCUUACCAAGGCUUUGACGGGUAGCCGGCCUGAGAGGGUGACCGGCAACAUUGGGACUGAGAUACGGCCCAGACUCCUACGGGAGGCAGCAGUGGGGAAUAGUGCACAAUGGGCGGAAGCCUGAUGCAGCAACGCCGCGUGCGGGAUGACGGCCUUCGGGUUGUAAACCGCUUUCGCCUGUGACGAAGCGUGAGUGACGGUAAUGGGUAAAGAAGCACCGGCUAACUACGUG